UCAAUAAUGAAAUUCAUUUAACUGAAAAUGGAGUGUUAAAUCUGGUAAUUAUACAUUACUGACACUCUAUUCUUGUAUUUGAUGUUAAGUGCUUUGAAACAAUAUGUAUGGUUAAAAGCGCUACAUCAAUAAACUUGACUUGAAUGGAGCACCCAGGAAGAUCUCUCCCAUCUUUAACAAAAUAAUAAUAAAAAUAAAACCCACACUAAGCCACAAUAAUAAGUGUUAUAGUAAACAAUUGGAUUUUCUGUAUUUCCUUUAAAAAAAAAAAAAAAAAAAAACUAAAUAAAAAAAAAUCGAUAAUAAUAUUGAUAAUAUAAUAUAAAAGUAAUAUUGAUAAUAUUUGUUAAAAUUUUGCUGACUAUUGUAUUUCAUACAUAAGGAUUUUAUCCCAAAACUUGAUAAAUCAUAAGUCAUUACUAAAUUCCUUUUUAUUCGCAAAAUAACAAAAUAGUUUUGUGUUCACCCCGUCCUUAAAUCGACUUGGUAUGACCCGAGGGAGAGCCUGACAAACAGCCCCGCCCCAUUUAUAAAGAGCUUGGGCGGCGAAGAAACGUCCCACGACUAAGUUAUAAUUAGACCUGGUAUGCUAACAAGAUUAUUGUCGAUUGAACGCACAGCAAUAAAAACUGUGUCUGAGUAAAACAUCAAAACGCCUCCUUAGAUGAGCUCUCCCUCCCCUGAAGUCAUCCUCGGAUCAAUGUUGAUCCCUCCGCAGAACUCCCCAAACAAACGGAUCAGGGUGGAUUUUCCGAGAUCAAGUCCAUAAAUCCUCUUGGAAACCGAAUGGUGGGAUUCGUUCCUGUGUUUCUGAGCGCAGACCUUCCUCUAUCUCGCUGGAGAGCUGUCGGGACUCGGUACCGAUCCGUUUAAAGUUUAAUCUGGUAAAGAGGAGAGAAACAUGUUUAUCCGCAGCAGCGUCAGCCAUUUUGUGUUGAACUACAGUAGGCGCGCAAGGACAAAAUAGUGCCACUGUAGGGGCACCAAAACGCAGUGUGAUUUAAUUUACCCUUAUAGUUCAAAUCACAUAAACUGCUUAAAUUAACAAAAUAUGAAUUACUAUAUAAUUACUUAAUUGAUGUAAACUGUCCAACAUACACAAACGGUAUUAAUGACUAAUUCAUUAUUCGCACCUUUGUUGAAAACAAUUUUGUGUGUAGAGUUGUGUUACAUGUUUUACGGUGAGAUUAUGUAUGACUAAGCUAAAUGUAAGUAUUAUGUAUGACUAGGCUAAAUAAAAUCAGAUAUUAUCACAUGAUGAACAGAAGACGGAGCACAGAGAACAUUGUUUUUCUUUCGGUGUAGAUGAUCAUUUAUUUAUUGUAUUAAUUUACAACAAAUGCAUAACGUUAUGUCUACAAUUUGUUGCGAUGCAAGUUAAUUAUUUAAUCUGCAAAAUGUGGUUUCAUUCACCCUAUUUACAUCAAAUAAUGUUUUAGGAGAGGAAACAACCCUGAGGGACUCCAGUGCUAAGAGCGAGAGCCCUGGUUGUGAGUUUGCCCAGCCUCACUAAAACUGCUGCCUGUCUGUCAGAAAGCAGGUGAUACAUUGACAGACAGAGGUGAGCAGAGAGAGCUGUUUCACUUUGUCUGAGAGAAGGUCAGGCUUGUUGGUAUUGAAGACCAAACUGAGGUCCACACAUAGGAUCUCUGCGUAAUUCCCAGGCCUGUUGAGGUGUUGUAAGAUGAUCAUAGGUUGACUGCAUCAUCCACAGACUUGGGAGCGUUAGGACUUGACACCAGUAUGAUCGCAUUUAAAUGAAAGCAGUCUGCGCAGCCAACCUCUAUCAAGUUUUAGCUGCUGGGAUGUGUGUCUCUGUAGCAUCUCCUUAUCCUCCAUCAGCCGAUCCUGAUGAAGCUGGACAGACAUCUAAA